CUCCCGCGGGACAAGACGCAGAAUCGGAGCAAGCGCCGAGGAGCGCCGGCUAGGACGCCGUGCUCCGAUGGGUUGGGCGUGUUGCGAGCCUCACCGUGGCCAAGUACCACAUGCUCCAGAGUGGAUGGUCGAUGCCCUCCCCACCUGGCCACCUCACGCGUGACUGGUAUUUCGUCAUCCCGCCUCUGCUCGAUUCGGCUCCGUCCGAUGGCGGUGCUUGCGCCUUGACGCCGCGCCUCGCACGAUGGCCGCCAGAAGCCUAUGCCUUGGCCGCUUUAGCUAUUGUGCGUAAGCGUGAUCUAAUAAUCAGAAAUGUUUUGAUGUAAUCCAUUGCUCAUGCAAUUCUAUAGUCUGUGGAAACUGCUCUUUUACACUGGUACAAUUGCAGUCUUAAGUUGGAACUUAUUUGUAGUUUAUUCAGUGACUACAUAAUAUCUCUAUAUAAUGCCAUACCAAUAAGGCAUAUUUGAUUAGUCUUGCUUGGUCUGAACAUUCUUAAAUGUAAUUCAGGAUGCUCUAGCUAAUCUUUUUUCUCAUUUCUGACAAGAUGCAUUGUUGUUUAUCUGAACAACAGUUUCGUGGCAUGAAAAAGAACAUAUAUAUAACAAUGCAUUCCAUGGGGCUGCAGUACUGGAAAAUUUCCUGAUCGUUGAGGCAACCAACAUGGAUUUGCAUAGCUUCUGUAACUCAAAUGAAUGCUAUGUAAAUAAUAUUUUUUUCGUCUAACUAUUAUCAAAAUGCAUGCAGGUUUAGCUCUGACAGAAUCAAGUCAAUCAACUAUGGGACAGAUUUUUGUGUACACUUCUUGUGCAUAUGUGAAGGGAAGCAAGCUUGGAUUCACUGGAUGAUGUAUACACACCAAGUGCACCUCGCUUUCAUAAUAGCAAGCAACCUCAUAUUGAGAUUCUUCUAAUUACGGUACUCCUAAUAAUUGAAUAUGUGGGGAGAGUCAGUGUUCCAUGAAACCAGAUUGCUUUCCUUGCUACAGAGUAUGAGCCACCUAGGUUUGUUUCCCGUCAGCUAACUUCCUACACCAAGCCGGCGGCUUGAUGUUGAGGUAAAGUCUUAAAGAAAAUUCUGAUCGAAGUUUGUACCUGAUCAAAGUUUGCUGGCUUGGUGGCGAGGGCGUCAACAUGGCGACGGCGGCAGCCCGCGCUCGCAUCCGUUGGUCAGCAGAGGAGAGCAGCAGGCGGCCACGGCGCCCCGCGCUCAUGUCCGUGGGCCAGCAGAGGUGAAGCCGACGGUGGCGCCGGAGACUCUCGCUCGCAUCCAUGGGGCAGUGUAGGAGAGGCAAGUGGCGACGGCGGUCUGUGCUCGCGUCAUUGGGGCAGUAGAGGAGCGGACGGCGGCGACUGAGUCCCGUGUUUGCGUCUUUGGGGUAGCAGAAGAGGAGCGGACAAGGGACAACGGCAGCGUCGAUCCGCGCUCACGUCCAUAGGGCAGCAGACAACAGAGGAGGAGCGGCGGGCGGUGGCGGCGAUCUGCGCACGCGUCUGUGGGGUAGCAGAGAGACGACGUGUUGUGAGGGCAGAGAGAAAAUUACGGGAUAGAAACCCCCUAUCCCGUUAAUUGAGGACCAACCGGUGCGUCGGGCAGUCUGCUUGGCAGAACAUUUAAUCUGGGACGUUCAUGUGCGUAGCAGACCCUUGAUGUAAUAUGGACUGUUAGAUGCUAUUUAGUUGGAUUGAUCUAACGCCUC